UACGGAGGGUGCGAGCGUUGUCCGGAAUUACUGGGCGUAAAGCGCGCGUAGGUGGUUUGUUAAGUUGGAUGUGAAAUCCCCGGGCUCAACCUGGGAACUGCAUUCAAAACUGACAAGCUAGAGUAUGGUAGAGGGUGGUGGAAUUUCCUGUGUAGCGGUGAAAUGCGUAGAUAUAGGAAGGAACACCAGUGGCGAAGGCGACCACCUGGACUGAUACUGACACUGAGGUGCGAAAGCGUGGGGAGCAAACAGG
rnacentral:rRNA from 1 species